AGUGAAUGCUGGCGGCAGGCCUAACACAUGCAAGUCGAGCGGCAGCGCGGGGCAACCCUGGCGGCGAGCGGCGGACGGGUGAGGAAUGCGUCGGAAUCUGCCUCUUUGUGGGGGAUAACGUAGGGAAACUUACGCUAAUACCGCAUACGACCUACGGGUGAGAGUGGGGGACCGCAAGGCCUCACGCAGAGAGAUGAGCCGACGCCGGAUUAGCUAGUUGGCGGGGUAAAGGCCCACCAAGGCGACGAUCCGUAGCUGGUCUGAGAGGAUGAUCAGCCAAACUGGAACUGAGACACGGUCCAGACUCCUACGGGAGUCAGCAGUGGGGAAUAUUGGACAAUGGGCGCAAGCCUGAUCCAGCCAUGCCGCGUGUGUGAAGAAGGCCUUCGGGUUGUAAAGCACUUUUGUCCGGAAAGAAAAGCAUUCGGUUAAUAACCGGGUGUCAUGACGGUACCGGAAGAAUAAGCACCGGCUAACUUCGUGCCAGCCGCCGCGGUAACAC
rnacentral:rRNA from 1 species